AACGGCCGCGGUAUUUUGACCGUGCAAAGGUAGCGCAAUCACUUGUCUUUUAAAUAGAGACCUGUAUGAAUGGCAUCACGAGGGCUUAACUGUCUCCUUUUUCCUAUCAAUGAAAUUGAUCUCCCCGUGCAGAAGCGGGGAUCUCCACAUAAGACGAGAAGACCCUAUGGAGCUUAAGCCGCAAGAACAGAGCAUGUAACUUUAUUUAAUUAAAAUUCCAAAACUAUUGAAACCCGUUCAAGUGUCUUUGGUUGGGGCGACCACGGAGUUCAAACAAACCUCCACGAGGAAAUGAAGAUAAAUCUUCCCAUCUAAGGGUGACAACCCUAAGAGCUAGAAUUUCUAACCAAUUUGAUCCGGCAAAGCCGAUCAACGAACCGAGUUACCCUAGGGAUAACAGCGCAAUCCUCUUUUAGAGUCCAUAUCGACAAGGGGGUUUACGACCUCGAUGUUGGAUCAGGACAUCCUAAU
rnacentral:rRNA from 1 species